rnacentral:rRNA from 1 species
UACGGAGGAUCCAAGCGUUAUCCGGAUUUAUUGGGUUUAAAGGGUGCGUAGGCGGCCUAUUAAGUCAGGGGUGAAAGACGGUGGCUCAACCAUCGCAGUGCCCUUGAUACUGAUGGGCUUGAAUGCACUUGAGGUAGGCGGAAUGUGACAAGUAGCGGUGAAAUGCAUAGAUAUGUCACAGAACACCAAUUGCGAAGGCAGCUUACUAAGGUGUAAUUGACGCUGAGGCACGAAAGCGUGGGGAUCAAACAGGAUUAGAAACCCCCGUAGUCC